AAAGAACCAGACUGCACACCGAUGGACACCACGUCCUCGUCUUCCGGCGAGACCAUCCUCAUCUGCGGGAGUGAUGGUGUGGCCAAAAAGGCUCGGCCCCAGGCUCACACCACCACAGCUCUUCUCCUCCCAGCUCCUAGCCACCCGAAAGUUGAGGUGACUCCGGCUGUUGCCGUGGGUAACCCAGGAAAAGGAAGCGGGGCCAAUGAAAUGGCAACGCCCACCCUGACAGCGCAGGUGGGAGGGGCCUGUAGCAUCGUCCACGUCCUGGAAUGGAAGGAGGGGAUGGCCAUCCUGCCCAGUAGCAACCUGAAGUUCUGUGUGAGUGACGUAGGAACUCUGAGCACACUGAUUACCCCGGGGACCACCAACAGCACCACUGAGCCAGCAGCAGGGACUUCUGGGAGAUCUGCUGAAGCAGAAAGCACUCCCGACAAACCAGAAGUGCUGGCUGCUGUUAGCUCUGUGCGAGGUGCAGCUGUGGAGCCGGAGAGGUUGGUGUCUGUCACGCCUGAAGUCCAGGUCGUACUGGGACAACCGCACCACGAUCCCAGAGUUCAGAGAAACUACACAGAGGAGCUACGUAGAGACCCCAUCACUGAGAAGUAUGUUCCCAACAGAGGCCUAGUCUUCAUGUUCACACAUGCAUCUCUGCAUACAUGUGCACACUCUGUCCUCCCUGCACUUCAGGAGGACUGUCGGUGUGGAGAAGGUGCCAGCAGGUGGGAGACUGUCCUCCAUUAACGCCG
rnacentral:lncRNA from 1 species